AGGAGCUGGAAGUUUAGAAACAACCAAAAUGAAAGAAAAGGAUCAACGAAACAAAGUCGUGUUGGUUACCAAACACCUCUCUGACAGUGGUCACGAUUCAGGCAUUAGAUGAAGCUUUCUUUCAUGGUCUCAGUUCUCAGAUUCAUCCUCCAGAUGAUGCUGAUAUAGUUACGGUUACAACACUGUGGAUGAAUCCUGCAUUUCUUUUUGCCUUUUUUUCUGAAGCAUUUCGUUUUAUCAUCUCUGAUAUAAUGAACCUCCACCAGUGGCUGACCACAUAGUGAAGCUGCCACAUCUCUAUAGGCUGAGUACUGCUCCUGGAGUGGACCAGACCUGCUUCUUUGAUAUUAUUCUUGUAUUCAGCAUCCAGGACAGGACAGUGCUGGAAUGAAGCUUGGUUUGCCAGGGAAGACAGAUGUAACUGAGGAAACAGCAGUGACACUUCGCCAUCCCCUGUGCUCUGAUGCCCACGACCUGCAGUCAGCAUUGAAGGGACCUGGGGAGGGCUCCAGGUGAGAACCCCUAUGUGCCUUCCACAUAAAUGCCAAAGGACAGAAUGGUGACUUUCCCAUUAGGGAAGUAAGGAAGAAAAGCAGCUGCCUGUCCAAGGAUGGAGAAUAGCAAUAAAGCGCUUUGUAUGAAGAAAGAAUUGAUGUUUGAUGAAAUGGAAUCCUUUCUGUAUACACACAGAGAUCAGCACGAUUGUUGGUGAAAGAGCCAUUUGCAGGGACUUGGGAAAGGAUCUCAAGGGAUGGGGAAGAGCUCUUCCCAAAAGCAGAGUGGAUCUGGAGAUUACAGACCACUCAUUAAUAUAGACUGCCUCUAUACAAUUAACUUCUUUUCUCCCCUAAGUUAAACUCACUGCACAGGAAUCUGACCAAAUCAGAAAUGAGCUGCCCAUUUGUGAUCUAUGAAGUAAUGUCAGGAAAUCUUUCUUCCUCUACCAACUCAAUGGCCAGAGAUGACCCAGAUGGAAAACCUCCAUUCUAAGGCACAUCACUGUGGUGUGAGUGCCCCAGGUAUGCUGUCAGCUUUCUCCCUAUGAGACCACACAUCCCGCAGCCUCUUUUGUUCUCCUCCCAGAUUGCAGCUUUUCAGGUCUUCAGUGCUAGUUUUGGUUGCUGGACUGCAGACUGCUAAGGGUUGUCUGUGCCAGGACAUGCACACAGAUCAUCUUUGCUUGGA